rnacentral:misc_RNA from 1 species
UAAUGUUACAACUAGAUAAGUUCAAAAACAGUUGUCAAAAUUUAUCCUAAAUACAUAAAUGAUGAACAUUACCAUAAGAAUGUGGCGUACACAGACAUUGAAUAGGUAAUGAAAUUUCCCAUUAUUCUUUUUCCUCCUUUUUUCGGGAAGCAGAAUCUAUCAAUAGAUUUAACCUUUCAUUUUGCUUUACCUUUUUAGGAGGUGAGGUUGUAGAAAGAAACAUAAACAUAGAUUUCAACAAUGGUUGUUAAAGGACAGGAAUUAUGUACUGAAUUUUUGGCCUACCACUACAUUGAAGUAUAGUUAUUUGAGAAUUACAAGUACAAGCAUUGUCCUUUUUCAUUACAACAAUAGUUCCAGCCAUUACAAAGGAUCUACCCUCUUUUCUACACCUGGCCCAAUUCAGGGUUCGAGUGAAACCUAAAAUGGGCCCAAAUCAACAGUUCAGGGGCCUGAACCAGAACCGGACCGACUAUGAGGGGGCUGCCUUCAGUCCACCCCCCCAGGCCCUGAAUUGAAACCGGACUGGAAUCGGCUGUUUGAACUGCCAGUUCCGACUUAAUUCAAACCAUUUAAAAAAAAAAGAGGUGGCAGCUUUAGAGGGCUCCACAUGGACCAAUCUGUUUUUGAACCAGAACUGAAAUUGCCAAAAAUAAAAAUCGGAACCAGCUGGAACCAGACUGGUUUGGUCCGAUUCACUCCCUGCCUAGGACCUGAACCAUCGAUUCUGGGCAGAUAAGACGGUGGCCAGACCAGCUCUUUUCUGCAAGCUAAUUUUCAUUGAAAAAAGUCCAGCCUGGUGCUGCUUGUGACAAUUACAUUUUGGCCACAGCACUCCACUACCACAAUUUUAAACCUUGAAAUCAAUGGAUAUCCCACACCCUUAGUGCACAUGAGAAAUAUACGAAUCAUAGUAUAAAACUGCGACGAAGAACACCUCUAGAAGAACAUAAUCUUUCUCAGAGAAAACAGAAUUAAAUAACACUAGAAAUCCAUGUAUAUCCAUAUCCUGUGCGCACAGGAAAAAAUAUGAAUCAUUGUAUAAAAUUGCACAGGAAAACACCUCUAAAAAAAAUAUAAUCUUUCUCAGACAAAAUGAUAGAGAAACAAUCCAAGGCCCGAGAAACAAGCCCACAAAAGACAACAAUUGCUGGAGAGUUUAUUCUAGAAGAGCUAAGAAGGGAGGAAAAGAUCAGGGAAUCAAAUCAUUGCAGCUGGUUGUAAUGCAGCAGGAAGAAGAAAUGUAUUUUGUUCAAGAUUUUAUCGCAAAUAAGGACAUAUAUGAGACUAGAGUAUAAAAUUGCAAUAGUAUGCUUGUAAAGGAGUUAUUCUAGCCAUU